ensembl:snoRNA SNORA63 Small nucleolar RNA SNORA63
AAGCCAUUUCUGUCUCAUCACAGUCAAAGCUCUUGAGUUUUGUGUUGUCAUUCCCCCUGCUCAGAAUAAAGUUGUUUCUUAUCUAGACCCAUCAACUAUGCCCCUGUAGCAGCCAGGGGUGCAUGAUCUCAUACAU